GGCAGAUUUAUUAAAUGUUGACAUUCUGUUAAUUUAUAUAUAUCCACAUUUGUAGAAAAAAAGACUCAAUUGUAGAUAGUUAUAGAUCCAACUUAAGUAGACUAUCUACUAUUUUAGCAUUUAAAUAUUUAUUAGAAAACGAUAUACUCACAAGAGAAACUAACGAGCAACAUUUAGUUUAUUCAUAAUUUUACCAUUUAGUUGGGUGUACAAGC